AUGGCAGCCUUUGCCAUGGAACUCCAGGUGCCUGCAUUAGGAUCUGAACCAAUGAUGCUGGCUUCAUCUCCAAAGCCAGGAGUUAAUGCCCAGUUCUUACCUGGAUUUUGAAUGUGGAAUUUGCCAGCCCUGGUGACUCCACAAUCUCGAUCAAUUAGUGGCCCUUCAGUAGGAGUAGUGGAAAUGAGAUCACCUUUACUUGCAGGUGGGUCACCACCACAACCAGUUUUACUAGCUCAUAAAGAUAAAAGUGGCGCUCCACAAGUUAGAAGUAUAUAUGAUGACAUUUCUAGCCUGGGAUUUGGAUCAACACCUUUAACUUCAAGAAGACAGCCAAACAUUUCAUGAUGCAGAGUCCUCUUACUGGAGUUACAUCUACUCCUGGAACAGGGCAAAGUACGUUUAGUCCAGCAAAUGUCGGUCAGUCAUGAAAGAUGACAUUUUCUCCUUCCCGGUUGGAUCCUUUUUAUACUCAAGGAGAUUCUUUGACUUCAGAAGGUCACCUUGAUGACACUUGGGUGACUGUGUUCGGGUUUUCUCAAGCCUCUGCUUCCUACAUAUUAUUACAAUUUGCACAGUAUGGGAAUAUCUUAAAACACAUGAUGUCUAACACAGGAAAUUGAAUGUAUAUUCAUUAUCAGUCUAAACUGCAGGCUCGGAAAGCCUUAACCAAAGAUGGGAGGAUUUUUAGAGAAUUCAUCAUGAUUGGUGUAAAAUCCUGUAUUGACUAAACUGUAAUGGGAAGCACUGACAGACGUGCUUUAUCAUCUCCAUCUUUCGCCUUUACACCACCAAUCAAAACUUUAGGUACACUAGCACAACCUGAAAGUACUCCUAGGAUUUCUGCCAUGAGACCUCUUGCUACAGCAUACAAAGAUUCUACUAGUGAUUAUCAGGUUAUUUCUGACAGAUGAAAAUCUUGUAUCCAAAGCAAUGGAGUACAUGUC
rnacentral:lncRNA from 1 species